GAUGGCAAAAACUGCUCCUCUAGUUGCUAAAUUGUUGAUGGGUGUGUCAAUGAUCCAAAGUUGCUGCUAGAAGUUGGAGUGGUGGGUUGUUGAUGAGCUAUCUCAUCACAAUCAAGAUUUUAUAGUUUACAAUUCUUGUGUUAAUUCAUCUUAAGGUGAAACCUAUUAUAAAAGUUCUUAUUUGGUUUAUCGAAGGUUUAACAGGUCCAAGCAAUGUCAUGCAAUGAAUAGUGUUGAUAGUUGCAAGUUUUGUGAUAGCUGCUCCCACCAAUUUCUCUGCCGGCCUACCAAACGUGACCAAUCCCAUUUGUGCAGUAUCAUUUUUCAAAAUGAGUUGUAUGAAGCUUCUAAA
rnacentral:lncRNA from 1 species